rnacentral:rRNA from 1 species
GACGAACGCUGGCGGCGUGCUUAACACAUGCCAGUCGAACGGAAAGGCCCUGCUUUUGUGGGGUGCUCGAGUGGCGAACGGGUGAGUAACACGUGAGUAACCUGCCCUUGACUUUGGGAUAACUUCAGGAAACUGGGGCUAAUAUCGGAUAGGAGCUCCUGCUGCAUGGUGGGGGUUGGAAAGUUUCGGCGGUUGGGGAUGGACUCGCGGCUUAUCAGCUUGUUGGUGGGGUAGUGGCUUACCAAGGCUUUGACGGGUAGCCGGCCUGGGAGGGUGACCGGCGACAUUGGGCCUAAGAUACGGACCAGACUCCAACAGGAGGCAGCAGUGGGGAAUAUUGCACAAUGGGCGGACGCCUGAUACAGCGACGCCGCGUGCGGGAUGACGGCCUUCGGGUUGUAAACCGCUUUCGCCUGUGACGAAGCGUGAGUGACGGUAAUGGGUAAAGAAGCACCGGCUAACUACGUG